rnacentral:rRNA from 1 species
UACGUAGGGGGCGAGCGUUGUCCGGAUUCAUUGGGCGUAAAGAGCUCGUAGGCGGUUUGAUAAGUCGGGUGUGAAAUCUCCAGGCUCAACCUGGAGAGGUCACUCGAGACUGUUAUGACUAGAGUCCGGUAGGGGACCACGGAAUUCCUGGUGUAGCGGUGAAAUGCGCAGAUAUCAGGAGGAACACCAGUGGCGAAGGCGGUGGUCUGGGCCGGAACUGACGCUGAGGAGCGAAAGCGUGGGUAGCAAACAG